rnacentral:tRNA from 1 species
UCCGGCGUCGUCUAAUGGCAGGACAGCAGAUUUUGGAUCUGCUUAUCGGGGUUCGAAUCCCUGCGCCGGAACCA